rnacentral:tRNA from 1 species
AUUAAAAGCUUGUAUGAAAGGUUGGACGAAGUAAAAUCUGUCUCUAUUUAAUUUA